rnacentral:rRNA from 1 species
UACGUAGGGGGCAAGCGUUGUCCGGAAUUAUUGGGCGUAAAGAGCGCGUAGGCGGUCCGAUAAGUCGGCUGUGAAAGUCAAGGGCUCAACCCUUGGAAGCCGGCCGAUACUGUCGGACUAGAGUCCGGAAGAGGCGAGUGGAAUUCCCGGUGUAGCGGUGAAAUGCGCAGAUAUCGGGAGGAACACCAAUUGCGAAGGCAGCUCGCUGGGACGGUACUGACGCUGAGACGCGAAAGCGUGGGGAGCAAACAGG